GACGAACGCUGGCGGCGUGCUUAACACAUGCAAGUCGAACGAAGUGGCGAACGGGUGAGUAACGCGUAAUCAAACUGCCCUUCAGAGGGGGAUAACAGUUGGAAACGACUGCUAAUACAGCAUACAGAAGGGAGGGAGUGAGUCUGAUGAGCUAGUUGAAUGGGUAACGGCCCACCAAGGCGAUGAUCAGGAGCCGGUCUGAGAGGAUGAACGGCCACCUUGGGACUUAGACACGGCCCAGACUCCUACGGUAGUCAGCAGUGGGGAAGCUUCCGAAAUGGACGAAAGUCUGACGGAGCAACGCCGCGUGAGUGAUGACGGCCUUCGGGUUGUAAAGCUCUGUUAAUCGGGACGCGGUACCGGAAUAGAAAGCCACGGCUAACUACGUGCCAGCAGCCGCGGUAAUUC
rnacentral:rRNA from 1 species